AUUCAUCUUCACCAGCUCAGCCCAGCAUUCUCAACAAUCAGCAUCAGUAUUGAAGAAAUACAACCCAUCCACACAACAAUGAAGUUCCUGCUGUACCUUCUGGUCAUCGUUGGCAGUCUGUUCGCACUGCAGGUUGGAGCCGUUCCCGAGCCAGACGAGCGCAUGCACCACUAUCCGUCGCCCCAGCCGGAUGCCGGCAAGUAGAACCGCACCAUGGUGGGACCAUGUGGUGACUUUGACAUGAAGAUGCCGAAGGAGAACUAACCGCUGAUGACGUUUCAAUAAAAUUAUCAAAAUAAAAAUAAA